rnacentral:rRNA from 1 species
UGGGGAAUAUUGCACAAUGGGCGCAAGCCUGAUGCAGCCAUGCCGCGUGUGUGAAGAAGGCCAUCGGGUUGUAAAGCACUUUCAGCGGGGAGGAAGGCGAUAAGGUUAAUAACCUUGUCGAUUGACGUUACCCGCAGAAGAAGCACCGGCUAACUCCGUGCCAGCAGCCGCGGUAAUACGGAGGGUGCAAGCGUUAAUCGGAAUUACUGGGCGUAAAGCGCACGCAGGCGGUCUGUCAAGUCGGAUGUGAAAUCCCCGGGCUUAACCUGGGAACUGCAUUCGAAACUGGCAGGCUAGAGUCUUGUAGAGGGGGGUAGAAUUCCAGGUGUAGCGGUGAAAUGCGUAGAGAUCUGGAGGAAUACCGGUGGCGAAGGCGGCCCCCUGGACAAAGACUGACGCUCAGGUGCGAAAGCGUGGGGAGCAAACAGG